rnacentral:rRNA from 1 species
CGGGACUCUUCGGAGUUCAGUGGCGGACGGGUGAGUAACGCGUGAGAAUCUGCCUAGAGGAUGGGGACAACCACGGGAAACUGUGGCUAAUACCCAAUGAGCGGAGACGUUAAAGAUUUAUCGCCUCUAGAGGAGCUCGCGUCUGAUUAGCUAGUUGGUGGGGUAAAAGCCUACCAAGGCGACGAUCAGUAGCUGGUCUGAGAGGAUGACCAGCCACACUGGGACUGAGACACGGCCCAGACUCCUACGGGAGGCAGCAGUGGGGAAUUUUCCGCAAUGGGCGAAAGCCUGACGGAGCAAGACCGCGUGAGGGAGGAAGGCUCUUGGGUUGUAAACCUCUUUUCUCAGGGAAGAACACAAUGACGGUACCUGAGGAAUCAGCCUCGGCUAACUCCGUGCCAGCAGCCGCGGUAAUACGGAGGAGGCAAGCGUUAUCCGGAAUUAUUGGGCGUAAAGCGUCCGCAGGUGGCACUUCAAGUCUGUCGUCAAAGACUGGGGCUUAACCCUGGAAAGGCGGUGGAAACUGAAGCGCUAGAGUGCGGUAGGGGUAGAGGGAAUUCCCGGUGUAGCGGUGAAAUGCGUAGAGAUCGGGAAGAACAUCGGUGGCGAAAGCGCUCUACUGGACCGCAACUGACACUCA